GUGAAAGCCCUGUAUACGAAAUAAAGAGAUCUCGGUGUGAGAGUAGGGCGGAGCACGUGAAAUUCUGUCUGAAUAUGCGAGGACCAUCUCGUAAGGCUAAAUACUCAUUAGUGACCGAUAGUGAACCAGUACUGUGAAGGAAAGGUGAAAAGAACCCCUGGCGGGGAGUGAAAAGAACCUGAAACCGUGUGCUUACAAACAGUUAGAGCCCAUCAAUGGGUGAUAGCGUGCCUUUUGUAGAAUGAGCCGGCGAGUUACGUUAAUUUGCAAGGUUAAGCUUUUAGGAGUGGAGCCGUAGCGAAAGCAAGUCUUAAUAGGGCGAAUAAGUAGAUUGACGUAUACCCGAAACCGGGUGAUCUAGCCAUGAGCAGGUUGAAGCUUGGGUAAAACCAGGUGGAGGACCGAACCAGGGUCUGUUGAAAAAGACUUGGAUGACUUGUGGCUAGGGGUGAAAUUCCAAUCGAACCCGGAGAUAGCUGGUUCUCCCCGAAAUAGCUUUAGGGCUAGCGUUGUGAGAAGAGUUAUACGAAGGUAGAGCACUGAAUGGGUGAGGGCCGCACCUCGCGGUACCAAUCUCAAUCAAACUCCGAAUGUCGUAUAAUAUGCGCAGCAGUAAGACUAUGGGUGAUAAGGUCCAUGGUCAAAAGGGAAACAGCCCAGACCGCCAGUUAAGGUCCCAAAAUUAUGCUAAGUGGGAAAGGAGGUGGAGUCGCUUAAACAACUAGGAGGUUGGCUCAGAAGCAGCCAUCCUUUAAAGAGUGCGUAAUAGCUCACUAGUCGAGUGAUUCUGCGCCGAAAAUGUAUCGGGGCUAAGCAUAAUACCGAAGCUGCGGGAUUAGAUGAAGAAUCUAAUCGGUAGGGGAGCGUACUAAGUGCGUAGAAGGUUGACCGGAAGGGCAGCUGGAGCGCUUAGCAGUGAGUAUGCCGGUGUGAGUAGCGAUAAGAUGGGUGAGAAUCCCAUCCGUCGAAAGCCUAAGGUUUCCAGGGGUAAGGCUCGUCCUCCCUGGGUAAGUCGGGUCCUAAGGUGAGGCUGAGAAGCGUAGCUGAUGGACAUCAGGUUGAUAUUCCUGAACCACCAUAAAACUGAAGGAAUGACGGAGGAGGCUAAUCAGAGCUGAUUAAUGGAUUUCAGUUUAAGUACAAAGAGGGUUACGUAGGCAAAUCCGCGUAGCAAAACCUUGAAGUAUGAUGACGUAAGUCUGGUGAAGCCACACUUCCAAGAAAAGUUUCUAGGUGUAUUUUAUGGUGCCCGUACCGUAAACGGACACACGUAGGCGAGGAGAGAAUCCAAAGACGCGCGAGAUAAUUCUUGUUAAGGAACUCUGCAAAAUUACUCUGUAACUUCGGAAUAAAGAGGGCUCCCGUGAGGGAGACGCAGAAAAUAGGCCCAAGCGACUGUUUAACAAAAACAUAGGUUUCUGCUAAAGCGUAAGCUGAUGUAUAGGAGCUGACGCCUGCCCAGUGCUGGAAGGUUAAGAGGAGAAGUUAGUCGCAAGGCGAAGCUUUGAAUUGAAGCCCCAGUAAACGGCGGCCGUAACUAUAACGGUCCUAAGGUAGCGAAAUUCCUUGUCAGGUAAGUUCUGACCCG
rnacentral:rRNA from 1 species